rnacentral:rRNA from 1 species
UACGGAGGGUGCAAGCGUUAAUCGGAAUUACUAGGCGUAAAGCGCACGCAGGUGGCUGAGUCAGUCGAUUGUGAAAGCCCUGGGCUUAACCUGGGAAUUGCAGUCGAUACUACUCAGCUAGAGUAUGGGAGAGGGUAGUGGAAUUCCCGGUGUAGCGGUGAAAUGCGUAGAUAUUGGGAAGAACACCAGUGGCGAAGGCGGCUAUCUGGACGGUUUCUGACACUAAGACUCGAAAGCGUGGGGAGCAAACAGG